rnacentral:rRNA from 1 species
GACUAGAGUAGGGCGGGACACGUGAAAUCCUGUCUGAACAUGGGGGGACCACCCUCCAAGCCUAAAUACUCGUACAUGACCGAUAGCGAACUAAGUACCGUGAGGGAAAGGUGAAAAGCACCCCGAUGAGGGGAGUGAAAGAGACCUGAAACCGAACGCCUACAAGCAGUAGGAGCCCCCUUGUGGGGUGACUGCGUACCUUUUGUAUAAUGGGUCAGCGA